CAACAUUAGGUCUUGGGUCCGGUAAUUUAUAAUUUCACUCUACCUAAGGCUACCAAAGUUUAGAGGCACGUACUUUCACUCCUCGGUCGCUCUUUCUUUCUUUUUUACUUUGUUUCUAACUACUGUAAGGACAGGUGUGAGUUAAUUUCCACCCUUUUUCUUUCUGAGAAUAAGUUAAUUUCCACGGUGUUUUUAGAGGCGUUAAUUUCCAGUUUUUUUUUAGCAGAGUUAAUUUACACAGUUAGGCAGACCCUAGAAUUUCUCGGCUCACUUGCGAUGGUUCAGCCCAGUUAGGAAGCCCAAAUCCUCCU
rnacentral:lncRNA from 1 species